GAACAAGUAGAGUGAUCGAAAGAUGAAAAGCACUUUGAAAAGAGAGUUAAAAAGCACGUGAAAUUGUUGAAAGGGAAGCGUUUGCGACCAGACUCGCCUACGGGGUUCAGCCAGCCUUCGGGCUGGUGUACUUCCCCGUGGGCGGGCCAGCGUCGGUUUGGGCGGCCGGUCAAAGGCCCUCGGAAUGUAACGCCUCUCGGGGCGUCUUAUAGCCGAGGGUGCCAUGCGGCCUGCCCGGACCGAGGAACGCGCUUCGGCUCGGACG
rnacentral:rRNA from 1 species